rnacentral:rRNA from 1 species
UGCAGAGGGGGCAAGCGUUGUUCGGAAUUACUGGGCGUAAAGGGCGCGUAGGCGGCCUUCUAAGUCGAACGUGAAAUCCCCGGGCUCAACCCGGGAACUGCGUCCGAUACUGGAAGGCUUGAAUCCGGGAGAGGGAUGCGGAAUUCCAGGUGUAGCGGUGAAAUGCGUAGAUAUCUGGAGGAACACCGGUGGCGAAGGCGGCAUCCUGGACCGGCAUUGACGCUGAGGCGCGAAAGCUAGGGGAGCAAACGGG